rnacentral:rRNA from 1 species
AUUGAACGCUGGCGGCAUGCCUUACACAUGCAAGUCGAACGGCAGCACGGGAGCAAUCCUGGUGGCGAGUGGCGAACGGGUGAGUAAAGCAUCGGAACGUGCCCAGUCGUGGGGGAUAACGUAGCGAAAGCUACGCUAAUACCGCAUACGAUCUGUGGACGAAAGCGGGGGACCGUAAGGCCUCGCGCGAUUGGAGCGGCCGAUGUCAGAUUAGGUAGUUGGUGAGGUAAAGGCUCACCAAGCCGACGAUCUGUAGCUGGUCUGAGAGGACGACCAGCCACACUGGGACUGAGACACGGCCCAGACUCCUACGGGAGGCAGCAGUGGGGAAUUUUGGACAAUGGGCGCAAGCCUGAUCCAGCAAUGCCGCGUGCAGGAUGAAGGCCUUCGGGUUGUAAACUGCUUUUGUACGGAGCGAAACGGCUUCCACUAAUACUGGGGGCUAAUGACGGUACCGUAAGAAUAAGCACCGGCUAACUACGUGCCAGCAGCCGCGGUAACAC